UAUACCUUACUGCAUAUGAAAAAAGAACAUGUCAAAUGGAAAGAUUCUUCAGAUGGCAGCAUUUCGAGUCAGCCCAAAUCACUACAUACUAUCUGCAGAUGUCUUGAUCCCAAGGGAGCUGCAGUAAGGAGCUGCUGUAUGUGACUCAAGGCAAUGUUCCUGUUGGCAUCAGUGGGAAUUUUGUCUGGUCCUGGAGUGAGCGUGGAGCGAAGAAUGGAGAACAGCAUGGGGAGCAGGAGAGCUGCUUUCCAUGCACCUGCACACUGCAAUGGGAAGAUUGCACAGAGACAUUUGCUGUAAUAAGCUGAAAAAGCCUUGACACGGGACCUAUUAUCUGCAGCGCUCCUUGUCUGUGUUUGGCCCACACCAGCAAUGCUCAGGCUAAUGAAUAAAAAAGUGUUAGAUGAAUUGUAUCCAAAUGCUAUGCUGUGUGUCAGCACAUCCUUUAGCCUUUGCUCAGGGCCGUGUUUUCACUUAAUUCAUCCUCAGUGGGGGAAUCACAUGGAACAGCCAACAUACAGCUAGAACUGGAAAAGG